UACGUAGGGUGCGAGCGUUGUCCGGAAUCACUGGGCGUAAAGGGCGCGUAGGUGGCGCCCCAAGUCUGUGGUGAAAGCUCGAUGCUCAACAUCGAGUCGGCCACGGAAACUGGGGGGCUGGAGCACUGUAGAGGCUAAUGGAAUUCCGGGUGUAGCGGUGGAAUGCGUAGAGAUCCGGAAGAACACCGGUGGCGAAGGCGGUUAGCUGGGCAGUUGCUGACACUGAGGCGCGACAGCGUGGGAGCAAACAGG
rnacentral:rRNA from 1 species